rnacentral:lncRNA from 1 species
AUGUGCUGUGCUUGCUGCCCCACUUGUCCUGAUGGACCAGCCCCCCAUGGCGCCAGGGCUGUAGGGCUUCCCUGGCUAGCGACUCAAUGUGGGCAGGAGAGUCUGCCUUCUGGGUUCCUGCCUGUCUCAUUUUGGGCUGCUCUCUUUCUCCUUAAUCCCCGCCACCACCUCUGGGGUCCUGUCUCUGCCAGCAGUCAGCCACCGAGGAGGACAUUCUCAAUGACAAGGAUGAGGAAGGAAAAGGCGAGAAGGAGACCGCAAGAUGGCUGGAUCUCCUCAGCCCUGACUGGGUUCCAAGUAUGUCACCAUUUUCUAGUGUUUCCUCCCUGUCCUCCCUGGAUUCCCUUUGGGACUCCCUCAAUGAGGCACGUAGCAGACAGAGCAGGAGAGAAGCCCUGCUGAGCUGGAGAACCCUGAGGCUGGGGAGGAGGAGGAGGCUGCUGGCCGGCCAGCCAGGCCACCUUCUGGACCAGUCUUGAGCAAGGGGGCAGACAGGCAGGGGGCUGCUGGGGGCAGAUGGGCUUGCUGCCCCACUUGUCCUGAUGGACCAGCCCCCCAUGGCGCCAGGGCUGUAGGGCUUCCCUGGCUAGGGGCUCUAUGUGGGUUCCUGUCUCAUUCUGGGCUGCUCUCUUUCUCCCCUCUCCCCACCACCACUGCCACCACCUCUGGGGUCCUGUCUCUGCCAGCAGUCAGCCUCUGAAGUGGCUCUCAAGGAGGAAGAGCCACAAGAAGAACCAGGGAGCCCCCCAAAGGAGGACGGGGAGGCCCUUUAUUUGCCGUGCUCCCGACCUGAAGAACACCUGGAGGCAAGCGUAAUCGAGGUCAGACGAAACAUACACUCAUUCAUGACAUAUGAAAAGCUUCCCUGAACAGGGCUGCCUUCAGAUGUCUUCUAAAAGUCAGAUAUCGACUCAAUGUGGGCAGGAGAGUUUGGCUUCUGGGUUCCUGCCUCAUUUUGGGCUGCUCUCUUUCUCCCCUCUCCCCCCCCCCCCACCACUGCCACCACUUCUGGGCUGGUUCCUCCAUCCUGUCCAGGCCAACAGUCAUCCUCUGAGGAUGAAAUAUCCCAUGGCAAAGUGACAGAGGAGGAGGGAAGCCAGAGUGGCCAGAGAGACCCUUGUAGUGUCAGGCCGGGUUGCAGAGGGUUCUGGGAAGUCUGUCCCUUCUUCCCAGCACUGCUGACAGGUCUUCUCCCUCUUUAAAGAAAGUUAAAUGAAGAAUUUUAUCAAAGACAUACAGUUUUUUAAGAAAUACAAACCAUCAACGACAUUAUUAUAAACAUAUAUUUCGCGGGGGUCGGGUCCUCGAACCACAAGUUCUUUUAAGAAGGGAAACAGGUAAAUGGAGAAGAGGAAACAGAGUUCUGUGGCUCAAACCUCAGCUGUUCUGAACUCAAUUUAAAGCACAAGAUAUUCUGGUCACCCCAAUGGUCAGCGGGGGGUUGAAAGGACCCUGAUGAGGGGUCAAGGCUGCAUUCCAGAGAUCAUGUUCUGCAGCUAAAGAGAACUGACCGCAUUAAGGGAAUGGGGAGAUGGCAGGCAACUGGGGAUCUUGGCUGCUGGAAACGGCAACUGGGAUCUCUCAGGAUUCCCUGCCAGACAGACCCCUCCCCAACCUUCUAUAUGAUGUGAUGUUGAGCUGUGAUGAUUUCCUGAAUGAUUCAUUGGGGGCCACAACUGCAAAUCUUGGGGUAGAUCAGGGUUCCCCAAACUUGGGUCCCCAGCUGUCUUUGGACUACAGCUCCCAUCAUCCUGAGCUGGCAAGACCAGUUGUCAGGGAUCACCACCAUGCUUUAGAGAUCGCGUUGAGUGAAUUACAUACACACAAAUACUCCUAACUCUUUGUUGUACCUUCUUGUCUUUCUGGUUAGGCCGUACCUCGUUCCAGGUGUACAGAAAGAUGUCGACCUGGAUAUGCCAAGGUGGUCCUAGAAGGAAAGCCCUUUUGCUGCUAUGCUUGUGCUCGGUGUGCAGAAGGGACCUUCUCCACUCGGGAAGGUGGGUGAUUCCAAGGGGGAAGAAAUUCCUGGAGAGAGUAAACACAGGGCAGAAAUUCAGUCUCACACACUUUUUGUGAGAAUUCUGCAGACAU